rnacentral:rRNA from 1 species
AUUGAACGCUGGCGGCAGGCUUAACACAUGCAAGUCGAACGAGCGGCGGACGGGUGAGUAAUGUCUGGGAAACUCCCUGAUGGAGGGGGAUCACUACUGGAAACGGUAGCUAAUACCGCAUACCAUCAGAUGUGCCCAGAUGGGAUUGAAUAGUAGGUGGGGUAAUGGCUCACCUAGGCGACGAGCCCUAGCUGGUCUGGGAGGAGGACCAGCCACACUGGAGCGGAGACACGGCCCAGACUCCUACGGGAGGCAGCAGUGGGGUAUAUGGGACAAUGGAGGAAAGCCUGUUGCAGCCAGGCCGCGUGUGUGAAGAAGGCCUUCGGUUUGUAAAGCACUUGCAGCGAGGAGGCGUUACUCGCAGAAGAAGCACCGGCUAACUCCGUGCCAGCAGCCGCGGUAAUAC